rnacentral:rRNA from 1 species
AUUGAACGCUGGCGGCAUGCCUUACACAUGCAAGUCGAACGGCAGCGGGCCUUCGGGUGCCGGCGAGUGGCGAACGGGUGAGUAAUGCAUCGGAACGUGCCAUUGAGUGGGGGGAUAACGUAGCGAAAGUUGCGCUAAUACCGCAUAUUCUGUGAGCAGGAAAGCAGGGGACCGCAAGGCCUUGCGCUCUUUGAGCGGCCGAUGUCAGAUUAGCUAGUUGGUGAGGUAAAGGCUUACCAAGGCGACGAUCUGUAGUGGGUCUGAGAGGAUGAUCCGCCACACUGGAACUGAGACGCGGUCCAGACUCCUACGGGAGGCAGCAGUGGGGGAAUUUUGGACAAUGGAGGCAACCCUGAUGCAGCCAUGCCGCGUGUAUGAAGAAGGCCU